AAAAUGCACAAAUGGGUAUCAAGUUCCAGAACUGCAUGGAGAAUUGUGGUUGAUGAUGGAACUAAGUGCAGAAGACAAAGGUGCUUUCCUAAUUCAGCAGACAAAGAAAGAGUGGAAUUUCUCAG